rnacentral:rRNA from 1 species
CACGUAGUUAGCCGUGGCUUAUUCCUCAGGUGCCGUCACUUGCUUCAUCCCUGAGAAAAGAAGUUUACAACCCGAAAGCCUUCUUCCUUCACGCGGCGUUGCUGGGUCAGGCUUGCGCCCAUUGCCCAAUAUUCCCCACUGCUGCCUCCCGUAGGAGUCUGGGCCGUGUCUCAGUCCCAAUGUGGCCGGCCAACCUCUCAGUCCGGCUACUGAUCGUCGCCUUGGUGGGCCGUUACCCCGCAACUAGCUAAUCAGACGCGAGUCCAUCUCAGAGCGAUAAAUCUUUGAUGUCCAGUGCCAUGCGACACAGACAUAUUAUGCGGUAUUAGCAGCUGUUUCCAGCUUGUUACUUCCCCAUCCAAGGCAGGUUACUCACGUCGUUACUCCACCCGUCCGCCACUAAGUACGUCCCAUCUAGUUGUACCGAAAACUCCUUCGAGGGUACUCCGUUCGACUUGCUAUGUAGUAAGUCACGUCCG